AAUAUGGGUAGUUAGUCGUUAAAACGAGACGAAACGAGAUAUUUAACGACUAAGUGGGAUAAUAUACUAUCUAACCUACCCUACCCUAACCACUCCACCAACCACCCAACCCCACUCACUCACACAUAUUAUACGGCUGUAUCAGCCAAACACUCCACUCACACUUUAAUCUCACACAUACAACACCUAAAACACACACUAGUUCACGCCAUUUUCAUUUUAGUUUGAGCUCAAGCUUUUGACCUCCGAUUUGAGCACCGAGACGAGCGCCGAUCAUCUUUUCGAUCACGUAUCUAAGUAGGUCUUUUUGGGAAGUAACGACUUGAGGGAGAGAGUGACGUUACUCAUUGAUACAGAGACACAACGAGGUUGAGCUGAUGUGAUGAUGGUGCUGCAAUGAGCGGAGUCUCCAGGGUUGUUAAUAAAUAGUUAACCUGUCUAGAAUAUGUCUUCAUACAUAUGUCUAGCUACUUUCCGCUGCAAGAUGUUGUUGAUGUUAUAGUAUGUUAUGUCAUACUUUGAGUCUUAAGAGAAUGGUUUCAUAUGAUGUGUAACUUGAUUAAUGAUAUUAAUUAAGUUUUAUGCUGUCUUUCAUAGACU